rnacentral:rRNA from 1 species
UACGUAGGGUGCAGGCGUUAAUCGGAAUUACUGGGCGUAAAGCGUGCGCAGGCGGUCUUUUAAGUCAGAUGUGAAAUCCCCGGGCUUAACCUGGGAACUGCGUUUGAAACUGGAAGGCUUGAGUGUGGCAGAGGGGGGUGGAAUUCCACGUGUAGCAGUGAAAUGCGUAGAUAUGAUGGAGGAACACCGAUGGCGAAGGCAGCUCGCUGGGACGUGACUGACGCUGAGACGCGAAAGCGUGGGGAGCAAACAGG